rnacentral:lncRNA from 1 species
GCGGCGCCGCGGGGCCUUAGCGGACGGAGGGGAGCGCGGGGGUCACCGGGCCGGGCCGGCAGCCCUAGAGCUCGGCCUGGCGGGGACCCUGGGCCAGCCCCGCGCCUCCGUGGCCCGGGCGUCUCGUGCGUGUCCGCGAACUCGCGUGCGCGCGUCACCUCGGACCGCAGCAUGGCUCGGAGGGCGGCCCUACUCGCGCCGCCCUAGUGCUGCGAAGGGCCUCGGAGCCCAAACCCGGAACCGCCAUCUGGGACUGGGAAGACGACAUGGCCAGAAGCCGGUGGAGUCUCGCUCUGUCACCCAGGCUGGAGUGCAAUGGCACGGUCUCAGCUCACUGCAACCUCUGCCUCCCAGAUUCAAGCAAUUCUGCCUCAACCUCCUGAGUAGCUGGGACUACAGGCACGUGUCACCACGCCCAGCUAUUUUUUUUUUUUUUUUUUUUUUUUUGAGACAGAGUCUCCCUCUGUCGCCCAGGCUGGAGUGCAAUGGCGCAAUCUCAGCUCACUGCAAGCUCCGCCUCCCCGGUUCCCGCCAUUCUCUUGCCUCAGCCUCCCGAGUAGCUGGCACUACAGGCGCCUGCCACCCAUGACCGGGUAAUUUUUUUUGUAUUUUUUAGUAGAGACGGGGUUUCACUGUGUUAGCCAGGAUGGUCUCGAUCUCCUGACCUCAUGAUCCGCCCGCCUCGGCCUCCCAAAGUGCUGGGAUUACAGGCGUGAGCCACCAUGCCCGGCCUUAAUAACUUUUUAAAGGAUGUCAAGUUAAUGGAAUGUAUUCUGCUUUAGAAAAUAAAACUCUUAGGUUUUCAAAACUUAGCAGCCCCAGCAUUACCAAGGGCCUGCCUACCGUUUACAGUAUGUGAAUCCUACUUCCUUUUCAUGGUUGUAAGACUGGGAUUUUCUGGGAGCCGACCUGCAGGAGUCCACAGGCCACCCGUUAGGACUGUGCACGCUCCUCCACAAACAUGCCUGUGGGGGGAUCCUUGGCUCUCUCUGCAGGGGUGCGUUGGGUGUGCACCAGCUGGGAAGGAAGGAUCUGUCGGAACUGCAAUCAAAGCCACGGCAGGCCUCCCAGGGUCUUACUGGUGGUGAAAACAACCAGCUUCCUCGUCCCUCCCUCAAGCAUGGCAACCACCGCCCUGAGACUCAAAGAUACCUGGAGGAGUGUGAUCGGGCUGACCUGUUGCUCUUAUCUGGAAUUCUUUGAGGGUGAUGGGAGAUCACUUCUUUUUUUUUUUUUUUUUUUUUUUUGAGACAGGAUCUUGUUUUGUCAACCAGGCUGGAGUGCAGGUUCAGGUGAUUCUUCCGCCUCAGCCUCCCCAAGUAGGCUGAGUAGCUGAGAAAACAGAUGCGCACCACCAUGCCUGGUUAAUUUUUGGAUGUUUUGCAGCCAUGUGGUUUCACCAUGUUGUCCAGUCUGGUCUUGAACUCCUGAGCUCAAGGGAUCCUCCCACCUCGGCCUCCCAAAGCAUUGAGAUUACAGGUAUGAGCCACUGUACCCGGCUACCCAGGAGAUUACUAUUUUUUGGCAUAAAACCAAACAAAACUAUUCAUUAGUUUAUCCACUCAACAUUGAUUUAUUAUUCCUGACUGCAGCCAACAACAUUGUGAAUACUUUCCCUGCCUCAAGCUCUGUUCUAGGUCCUAGAACAUUCAUGACAAUUUGUUUCUCUGCCCUCUGGCAGGUGAGAAAACUUUGUAAGAAGUUUCAAUAGCAAAAAGUAUGAGAAGAUGUACAAUAGAUCUGGGACUAUUUGUAACAAACCCGGUGGAAGAUGUAGGAGCAGAGGUGGAAGGCCUUAAAGAGGGUCCUGCGCAUGCCGGGCGGGCCUCCAACAGAGAAAACACACAACCUGGCCAGGCACAGUGGCUCACGCCUGUAAUCCCAGCACUUUGGGAGGCCAGUGCGGGUGGAUCACCUGAGGUCAGGAGUUCGAGAUCAGCCUGGCCAAUGUAGUGAAACCCCAGUCUCUACCAAAAAUACAAAAAUUAGCCGGGCUUGGCACAGGCUUGCAAUCCCAGCUGAGGCAGGAGAAUCGCUUGAACCUGGGAGGUGGAGGUUGCAAUGAGCCAAGAUCAUGCUUUUGCACUCCAGCCUGGACGACAGAGUGAGACUCUGUCUCAAAACAAAAUAAAUAAAAUAGACACGCAAUCCAUACCACAGCCACCAGGGUGAUUGUCCAGGUUGUAUUUCUGCUGACAUCGACCCUUCAUGCCUUCCUCUUGUUGACCCUUCCAGCUACACCUAGCUCGGUCCUCUUCGGAGCCACGCCAACACCCAGGUUCCUCUGCAGUGCAUCCCCAUGGGGAUUUACCCGGUGAUUGAUUUUAUUUCUUUAUUUAUUUUUAUUAUUAUUAUUAUUUUUGAGACAGAGUUUCACUCUUGUUUCCCAGGCUGGAGUGCAGUGGCGCAAUCCCAGCUCACUGCAACCUCUGCCUCCCGGGUUCAAGCGAUUAUCCAGUCUCAGCCUCCCGAGUAGCUGGGAUUACAGAUGUGUGCCACCACGCCCAGCUAAUUUUUGCAUUUUAGUAGAGACGGGGUUUCGCCAUGUUGGCCAGGCUGGUCUCGAACUCCUGACCUCAGGUGAUCUGCCCGCCUCGACCUCCCAAAGUGCUGGGAUGACAGGCGUGAGCCACUGAUCCGGCAGUUCUUAAUCAGACAAAACUCAGCCCCAACUCCAGUAGCUGAUGCAGGGGUGGAAUUUCAUUCUGCUUCUUCCUUACUGUUAUUUUAUGCAAGGGGGUGGAGCGUGUGCGUGUUGGGGACGGAAAAGUGGGAAAGGCAAAUGGUCCGCUGGACCACAGUGGUCAUUGUAUGGGUCAGAAAUCAGGUUACUCUUAGAGAAAGAAACUAUUGAGAAUCAACCCAAAGGGAAUUAAAUGAACACCUGUAAAGGAAUGUGGGGACUUACUAAGCACGGGGCUGAGAAGAUGCCAUCAGGCAAGGGUGAUUCCGAUAGUCGGAGGAAGCUACUCCCUGAUAUAGCGAGGACUGAGGCUCACAUGUCACAACCGGUCAUCGUAAAGACCAGCGGUGCUGCUAUACCUCCCACAGUACAUAGAAUAACCCCGUAAAGAAUGACCUGGCUGGGGCCUGAGAGCAUUGCUUUACCUGGAGGUGCAGCCAGUCAGCCAGGGGAACGAAGCAGUAUUUGUGGGCUGAGCAGAGAGGGCCCUGGGCAGAUCCUGGGUGUGUGCACAUGAGGGCCCCGGGCAGGGCAGGGCAGAGGAGGUUGGGACACUGAGUCAGAGGUAUGCUCCUGAAGGCAACCCACAAGGGGGCCAGUUCGUGGAACUGCAGGCCUGAUCCUGAGCAGCAUGGUGCGGAGCUGUCUGGACAGGCCUGCAGAGAAGGGCGCCUACCUUACUGAGGUCAACCACACACAUCCAGUAGCCACAAGGCUGCUGUCGCAAGGCGGUGCCUGGCCUAUCUUGUGAUGAUGUUUGUUUUUACACAUAAUGUUAUGCUUUGCUUAUGGACAAGCAAUGGAGGCUGGCGAGGCUGCCCUGGGCCUGUUACACACCCAGAGGGCCCUGUGCCCACCUCAGGCCUCAUUCUCUCCUGAGGAGAGAGCCCAGUGUCCGGAAGACAUCCCUCCCCUCCUGUUUGUUCUCUCCUGCCCUCUCUCUGCUUCUGCUUUUAAGAAACACCUGUUGGCCAGGCGCGGCGGCUCAUGUCUGUAAUCCCAGUACUUUGGGAGGCUGAGGCGGGCAGAUCAGGAGGUCAGGAGUUCAAGACAAGCCUGGCCAACAUGGUGAAACCCCUGUCUCUACGAAAAAUACAAAAAUUAGCUGGGCAUGGUGGCGCGUGCCUGUAGUCCCAGCUCCUCGGGAGGAUGAGGUGGGAGAAUCGCUUGAACCUGGGAGGCUGAGGUUGCAGUGAGCCGAGAUGACACCACUGGACUCCAGCCUGGGCUAUAGAACAAGACUCCCUUUAAAAAGAAAAAAAAAUUCAUGAUCUGGAAGCCCGAGUGUAGCUAACUGGUGGACAGAUGAAAGUGAAAUGUGUGAUGUUUCCUAAGACCCCCUAAGACUUCCCUGAGCCACGGGAGGCUCUCACGAGUGUGUAAGCCAGGGUUUUGGGGAAGGGGUGGAUGUGUGUGUCUCGCAUUUUCCCAGCUGCCUCUCCUUUCCCCUUCUUCCUUGCUCCCGGAGACUUCCUUGUGGAUUCCUUCCCAGAACUUGGUCUGAAUUCCCUAAUAGACAUUCUCCUAGCGGGAUGAGUCCCCCUUUACAGCACUCGGGAAAUGCCUGCUCCUCUAGCUGUCUCUGAUCCACCUCUCCUGUCUUUCAACUAAGGCCCCCACAUGCCAGACCAUCGUUGGUGGACCUCGUCACCAGCAUGAAGUGGGCUCUUGGAGUUGUCGACUGACUAGUUCACAAUUAGUGACUCAUAGCAUCUCACUCAUUUCCUUUUCAUCAGUAGGAGGCAGCAGUCUGCACUUUUGCAUCACAUUUCAAAGACAUCUGUGUGUUUGUUCUCGUGCAGAACACUUUGACUAUUGUAACCUCUAGGUCCAUGAAUGACCCUCAUCUUCAGUAAAAGUGGAUUCACGCUGGCAAAGUCUGCUUUGUUUUAUUGUGACACAUGGAACAUUAUGGAUUUUGGUGAAUAAAAACUAACUUAAAUUGAAGUCAUUCUUGUAAAAUGAAAAUACAUUUUUCUGCUGUUCUUAACUUUAUAAUAUAGAUACAUACUAUGUCUUAUGAAAUAGUAAAUGGAAAACACGAUUCAAA